rnacentral:tRNA from 1 species
CUGGGCUUAGCCUAGUGGUAAGGCGCGUGCCUCGGGCGCACGAGGUCGGAGGUUCAAUUCCUCCAGCCCAGA